rnacentral:lncRNA from 1 species
GUACUCAUUGACGCAAGAAUUAGAAUAGAAGAAAAAUCUUUUAAUUAACUUUUAUGUCUUUUGGGGGAAAAAGAGUUAUAGGUUCGCAGCUAGAAUAAUGAAAUUUUAACUUUGAAAUUCUAUUUGGCAUCUUGAAGGAUGAGGAUGUUGAUUGGGGUAUAAAAGUUGAACUCAUGAAAUUUCAACAAUUUGGAAAUAUCAACACU